AAAAUCUUCCAUAUUACAGGCUAAAUAAACUCGAUUGCCUUAAUAUUUAUGGCUAUGCCUCCUGCGAAGCAGCUACGUGUACAUAAUUGGCUCACAGAAGCCAUACAGAUGAGCCGGUAAGCAUUUUUUGAAAAAAAAAUAAAAAUGCAUCAAUUAAUCGAAGGAAAGCAAAACCAAUCCCUCUUUACCCUCGCCGAACGCACACCCAGUUUUUGAUCGCCGAACCUACGUCGUGAAUCAUUAAUUUCCACCAACUUCACCGCCAUUCUCUUCACUGUCUCCGAUUGCCGUCUAUCCGUUGAACAACAAAGAAGUCAAUAUCUUUAGCUUUGUAAUAUCACCGACCAUAAAAAGGGAUGAGGAAGCAGGAAUUAUAGUGUUUGUUACAGUUGUCAAAGCACAGAUCACUUCUUCGGAGAAUGCCACAAAAAACAACGUUGUCCAUGGUGUGUAGAUGGAAUCCAAAAAUGUUUUGAGGUUUAAAAUGAGGGCAAUAACAAAGGCCAACUAUUCAAAACUUGCAAUAAUGACUACGAUUUUUUUAGUUGGGUAAUAGAAAAAGCAAGUGGCGAAUCAGUACCAUUAAUGAAGCAAUAAAUCCUACUGUGAAUGAAGAAGUCGAUGAGUUGCAAAAUGUUCGAAAGUCUAGCUCGAAUAGCCGAGAAAUGAAACCUAGAGAUUUCAUUGAAUGUGACAUUCUGCAAGGGUAAAGAGUCCUCAGAAGAUAAUGGAAAAAGAAAGGGGUCAGCAUAAUGCAUAAUUAUAUUUGAUGUUGCAAUUUUUUGUAGUUAUAUUGUUCGAUUCAUAAUAUCAUGAGAGGCUGGGAAAUUAUUCCUGUAACUCAUCAAACUUGAUGUACAACUUAUGUUGGUGUAUAUUUAUUCGAAUCAAACUAUGUUAAUGUA